rnacentral:siRNA from 1 species
UAGGUCGCUGUUUUUAAAAUCGA